GUAAAAAAUGUCAGAAUUCAGGUUAUCUGUGCAAGCUAAGGUCAUUUCUCUUGUGAAAGAGGAUUAAUCCUCUCAUUGCAUGUCCUCUGGAGAUUUUUCCACAGGUCCUCUGCCUUACAGAUUUUCCAUUUGCUUUUUUUUAAAUAGAAGCUCCUGAGUUCUUCCUGAUUUCUGAAGACACCAAGUGAGCUGGAAGUCACCAGCGUGCUCUCAACAUCAUCCUGUUGGGUCAUCACCAAGCAGGCAAGCUGUCAAAAUGAAGAUUGGCCAACUUCACUUAUGGGGAUUUAGCACAGUUUUCCAGAGUGGUUGCUGGAAGGUUUCACAUGACCUGACCCUCCCAAAGCCUCCCUGAGUGAACAGAGGAAAAGACAAGUCCUUCUGUGGAGCAUUUCAGAGCCAGAGCCUACCACAGCAGCAUCGAAACGUUCUUGCAAAUCAUUUCCCUCUCUUUCAGCUUUGCGAAGGGCCCAUGGAUGCUGCAGGCUACUAGGAGCCUGUGUGAAUCCUUCCAUCAGUCUGCUGUCCCACGCACUGUUGGUACUUGUAUGCACGUUACUAUGAAAGUCAAUCACACUUUUAUGACUGAUGUUUAAGACAUGAAGCCAUAAAAUUCUUCAUGCAGUUAGUAAGUUUAAAUGAAUUAUUUAGGUUGUUUCCUCCCACACACCCCUCCCCAUUAACUUACUCCUGAGGGAAAUGUAUUUAUGGAGCCAUGUGCUUCUCACAUGGUUGAAGCUAAAAAUAAGCUUAAAAAAAUCAUUCUGGAUAAAAUUUAAUUUGAAAUCCAGUUCAGCAGCCUAACACAGGCUAUCACUGGUUUCUUAAGACUGGUUUCUCUGUUUGUAACGAUAACCUUGACCAGUCUUUUGAGUGCUGAUUGCUUCUGGAUUUCUCAUACUCUCAUUUUGUUAUAUACAUGUGGAUACAUUUUGUGUGUGUGUGUUCUGAGGCUUUUUUGGGGGGUUGGUUUGGUUUUGUUUGAUAGUGUUGGAGUGUAGAGAGGCUUAUCAGACACUGAAAACCAUGAACUGUUUUUCCCACGAUCUUUUAGUCAAUGAUCAACAGAUCGGAUGCUUCAAAAGGUCUGAACCCUUAUGGGUCACAUCCUUCUUCCAUGUAAUUCCGUAUGAGUAUUGUCACUUGUUUUAAAGAAGCCAAACUUCAGCCCAUAAUGGACAAUUAUGCAACCCUUGGAUGAAAGGGAUGUUUUCUCCUUGCCCUAGAUAAUUAAGUAAAAUGAGGAUCCUUCCAUUCCCAUCACUAGUUUAUUUUUUUAAUUAGUCUUGAGAUGACUGCAUCCUGAGCUCCAAGUACCGACAUCAUUGAGAAGGGAGAUUUCAGCAUAAUUUUUUCUCUGUACAUCACAGCCUUUUCGCCUGAGCACUCUUCCACAGACAGCUCUCAGCUGUUCUCAGUGGGACCCAGGCUGGUAGAGUUCCCUUAGUGCAGGGCAACACACAGGCUUACUUUGCUAUGUCAUUUCUCCUACAUUCUUCUAUCUGCAUUCCGUCACUGCUGCAUUCUCUGUUUGGAAGGGAAUUUGCUCUCAUUUUCCUUUCACUUUUAGUUGUAUUGGUUUUAUUUUAUCUGCCAAAUUUAACACAUCGCUUCUCAGCUUCUUCCCAAGUAGUGAAUAGGUGUGGCACCCCAGAGCCUUGCUCCAUACUGAAGUCUAAUUGAUGUAUGUGCAAGUGUGUGCAUUAUCCUGAUGGUUCUGGAUUGUUACUUUUUAAGCAGUUUUCGGCCGUUGGUAAAAUGUUGUUCUUUCUACCAUGCUUAGUUCAUAAAUAAUCGCCAGUGAGAGUUCUUCUGCAAGGCUGUGUCUGCAAGGCUUUGUCUGUUAUUCUGCUGAAACAGCUGAAGAAUGCCAGUGGACCGCAGAGGUAUCCUAUCUCUUGUCAUGUUAUGCUUCAAGUGCUCUAUUUCCUUAGCGACCAAAUCAAUUAUUUUACUUGGUAAUGACAUCUGCAAUAAGUAGAUGUCAUUAGAUAUGGAACCGCCGCACUCUGGGAAGCAGAACUGUUUGUAGUCCAGCUGCUUCCAAGAGUAUCGCCAUCAGUUUGUUAAAGGCAGAAUCACAGCCGCUGUGCUUAAUUGUAAAGACCACUGCAAGAAUGCGACAUAGCAGAACAAUUUAAACAUCUACAUAAUGAUUUUUUUUUUCCCACGAUCCUAAAUGCUUUCUACUUCAAAUUAACUUAUUAGGCAACUAAUAAGGCAACUAAUAAUUAGGCAACUGUAUAACACAGGUGAAUUUGUUUGGGAUUCCUGAGGGUUUCAGGUUCAGUACCUUUAGCCAUUACUACCAUUUGGGUCAUCCAACACACCAGCGAUCUGCGGCAUUUGGUUCCACACGCGUCCAGUUCAUCUCUCCAGAUCUGAUCUCUCCAAUCACACCUGUACCAGCAGCCUGGGAUGACCCAGACUUACAGCCCUCUUAUGUCCUGUGCCUGCUUUGUGCCUAGAAUUCCUGUUCCAAUUAAAGGUACGACUGAAACAGUUAAAUCAAUGAAAGCCCUAAAGAAGGUGAGAUUGUCAGCAAAAGGGGCUCCAUACCAGCACUGCUUGCUCCUGCAAAUCAGAACGUGUGUGUGUGGUGUGCAUGGUCUCUACCGGCAGAGAGGGUGCACCGCUUCCAAACCAGAACAGUUGAUGUGACACAAAGCCACGCGUCCUUUAGCCUCAGAAAUCCAACUUAAAGUAUUUGGGUAAACGCAUACUACAAAGUAAUGUUUAACCCAGAAUUAUUUGUUAAUGGAAUGUUAACGCUGUUGGAGGAGGCAGGAAAUUCCGAGUUAGCGCUCCCCUGUGCGCGCCGCCUACUUUGCGUGCACGCGUUGGAAGCAGGCUGUCACAGUGCACAGAAUGCAGGCAGAAGUUCUGUUCUCUUUGAAGCAAGGAGCUGCCAAAAUGUUCGUGUCGGGCUUUUUUCCUAUUAUUUCCUUUCCUAUUGGGCAACCAACAGCACACAGUUCAUUGGGGUGCACGUGCCUGGAGCCGGCACGCUGUGUGCAGGGGGUGGUGGAACUCACUGCUGAUUUAGAGUGCUUCAGCAUCUCGUUAUGUCCAUUAAUGAAGCUGCUGGCAAUGAAGCAGGCUUUGGUUUGGUUUUUUUUUGUUUUUUUUUUUUCCUCGUUUGGUUUGUGUUUCAAAAAGGCAUAAUUUCUGCAAUUUUUCUCUGUUCUUCCCCCGCCCCCCAUACAGAAAUUGCUUUAGACAGGAAGAAUUUUCUAAAUUGAGUUAGACUUGAAUCAAAUAACUGAAGACCUAUUUUUAAAAAGCACUGUGGUACUCCGCAUUCUUACCAAAAUUCUUGUAUUCCCACUUGUUUUUCAGUAAACUUUCAUCGUUCUGUUUUAA